AAUAGAUACCCAGGUAGUCCACGCCGUAAACGAUGAGUGCUAAGUGUUAGAGGGUUUCCGCCCUUUAGUGCUGAAGUUAACGCAUUAAGCACUCCGCCUGGGGAGUACGGCCGCAAGGCUGAAACUCAAAGGAAUUGACGGGGGCCCGCACAAGCGGUGGAGCAUGUGGUUUAAUUCGAAGCAACGCGAAGAACCUUACCAGGUCUUGACAUCCUCUGACAACCCUAGAGAUAGGGCUUCUCCUUCGGGAGCAGAGUGACAGGUGGUGCAUGGUUGUCGUCAGCUCGUGUCGUGAGAUGUUGGGUUAAGUCCCGCAACGAGCGCAACCCUUGAUCUUAGUUGCCAUCAUUCAGUUGGGCACUCUAAGGUGACUGCCGGUGACAAACCGGAGGAAGGUGGGGAUGACGUCAAAUCAUCAUGCCCCUUAUGACCUGGGCUACACACGUGCUACAAUGGACGGUACAAAGAGCUGCAAGACCGCGAGGUGGAGCUAAUCUCAUAAAACCGUUCUCAGUUCGGA
rnacentral:rRNA from 1 species